rnacentral:lncRNA from 1 species
GUUAUUUUACUAAUUAAAAAAAUAUAUUUUUAUUUGUUAAAUAUCAAUUAGUUGGUAAAAUUACAAUAAAAAUAUCUAUUAAUUAAAUAUAAUUUAAAUACAAUAAGAACAAAAAAUUAACUUACACCAUUUUCAAUUUUUCUAUUAACAAAAUAUAACUUAUACACACAAACUUAUUUUUAUUUUUAUUAUUUGAAUACCACAAUUUUUUAUUUAGUUCAUAAAAAUGGAAUAAAUAAAGAUUGAAAAAAACUUAUAAAAAAAUCUUUAUUUUAUAUUUCGCCGUCAUUCAAUUUAUUAAGACGAGAGUGCAUACACUAUUAACUCCCAAAAAGCAAUGACAAUCUUGAAAGAUACUUCUGAACAACUUAGGAUUCAAAGAAACAAAUCAUAAGUGAGAGCUGAUAUCCCCCAAAUAGUUCCUGCUUCAUUACAACCACAAAUGUUAUUUUUUUUUCUCUAAAGGUAAUCCUACACAAACAAAUGAUGAGUAGAUUCAAUCAGACCAGACAUGGAGAAAGACAUGAGUAGAUUCCAUUACGCUCUUCUUCAUAGAACAGAGCAGUUAUGUCUUUCAAAGCCUCAGCAACCUCAGUUGUUUUUCUUUGCU